UACGGAGGGAGCUAGCGUUGUUCGGAAUUACUGGGCGUAAAGCGUGCGCAGGCGGUUGUGCAAGACAGAUGUGAAAUCCCCGGGCUCAACCUGGGAACUGCAUUUGUGACUGUACGGCUGGAGUGCGGCAGAGGGGGAUGGAAUUCCGCGUGUAGCAGUGAAAUGCGUAGAUAUGCGGAGGAACACCGAUGGCGAAGGCAAUCCCCUGGGCCUGCACUGACGCUCAUGCACGAAAGCGUGGGGAGCAAACAGG
rnacentral:rRNA from 1 species